GGGGCCAAGGACAAAAUGAGUGGGCUAGUGGGUGCUAGGACUUGCUCAGGCCCAGGAGAAGCCUCGGACCUUAAGUACCCCCUGGGCACCAGGCUCAGGGAGCCCCUUACCGAAGCUGGGUUCCAGCAGCUCUUUGGGGACGCAGAGAAGGAGCAGGAGCUACGGACUGAGCCCCGCUGGUCAGGGCUCAGGUUGUGGAGGAGACCGGCCCGUGCUUGUUCUCGGCCGGGGGCGUGGCGCCUGCUGAUGACUCGUUUGCCCCUGCUGCGCUGGCUGCCCCGCUACCGCUGGCGGGCCUGGCUGCUCGGGGAUGCUGUGGCCGGAGUGACCGUGGGAGUCGUGCAUGUACCCCAGGGAAUGGCUUUUGCCCUCCUGACCUCGGUACCUCCGGUGUUCGGACUGUACACUUCUUUCUUUCCCGUUCUCAUCUACAGCUUGCUGGGCACUGGAAGACACCUGUCCACAGGAACUUUCGCUGUACUCAGCCUCAUGACGGGCUCUGCAGUGGAGCGGUUGGUGCCCGAACCCCUCACCCGGAACCUGAGCGGAAUUGAGAAGGAGCAGUUGGACGCUCAGCGGGUUGGGGUGGCCGCGGCAGUGGCCUUUGGGAGUGGGGCGCUGAUGUUGGGGAUGUUCAUGCUGCAGCUCGGCGUUUUGUCCACCUUUUUGUCGGAGCCUGUGGUCAAGGCGCUGACCAGCGGGGCCGCGCUGCACGUGCUUGUGUCCCAGCUUCCAAGCCUUUUAGGGUUGUCUCUUCCGCGUCAGAUCGGCUGCUUCUCUCUCUUCAAGACGCUGGCGGCUGUGCUCACAUCGCUGCCCCGGAGCAGUCCAGCCGAACUGACUAUAUCGGCUAUCAGCCUGGCACUGCUUGUGCCCAUCAAGGAAUUGAACGUGAGAUUCCGAGACAGGCUACCCACCCCGAUUCCAGGGGAAGUCGUCAUGGUGCUUUUGGCCUCCGUGCUCUGCUUCACCUCUUCCCUGGACACAAGAUAUAAUGUUCAGAUAGUGGGGCUGUUGCCUGGAGGAUUUCCCCAACCCCUCCUCCCUAGCCUGGCAGAGCUGCCCAGGAUUCUGGCUGAUUCGAUGCCCAUUGCACUGGUUACUUUUGCUGUGUCCGCCUCCCUGGCCUCCAUGUAUGCAGACAAGUAUAGCUAUACUAUUGACCCCAAUCAGGAGCUCUUGGCCCAUGGUGUCUCCAACCUCAUCUCCUCCCUCUUUUCUUGCUUUCCCAACUCUGCCUCACUGGCCACGACCAGCCUACUAGUGGAUGCUGGUGGGAAUACACAGCUGGCAGGCCUUUUCUCCUGCAUAGUUGUCCUUUCAGUGCUGCUGUGGCUGGGGCCCUUCUUCUACUAUCUGCCAAAGGCUGUCCUGGCUUGUAUCAACAUCUCCAGCAUGCGCCAGAUGUUCUUCCAGAUGCAGGAACUUCCACAGCUAUGGCACAUCAGUCGCGUGGACUUUGCUGUGUGGAUGGUCACAUGGUUAGCUGUAGUGACACUGAAUGUGGACCUGGGUCUGGCCGUGGGUGUGGUCUUCUCCAUGAUGAUGGUGGUCUGCCGUACACAGAGGGUGCAGUGCCUGGAGCUUGGACUGGCUGAGGGGACAGAACUCUACAGGCCACUCAAAGAGAGCCGCAAGCUCCUUCAGGUCCCAGGUCUCUGUAUCUUGAGUUAUCCAACACCACUCUACUUUGGGACUCUUGGGAAGUUUCGCCGCAUCUUGGAGUGGCAUCUGAGGCUUGGAGAAGGAAGCAAGGAGUCACCAAAGCCAGAUGGCCUACCUGACACAGUUGCUGAGCCUGUCAGGGUUGUGAUCCUAGACUUCAGUGGUGUCACCUUUGCAGAUGCUGCUGGGGCCAGGGAAGUGGCACAGCUAGUCAGCCGAUGCAGGGAUGUGGGGGUCCACCUUCUUCUAGCUCAAUGUAAUGCCUCUGUGCUGGAGACACUGGCCCGGGCAGGAGUCCUGGACAGAGUGACCCCACAACAGCUGUUUGUGAGUGUCCAGGAUGCAGCUGCUCAUGCCUUGGACAGACUGGAACUUACUGGCCCUAAGAUUUGCACGGUGUGGAUCUGACCAGGUCACUUGGAAUAUGAAGGUCCCCAAUGAUGUGUAUAUGUGUAUGUAUGUGAAGAGGGCCAUGAUCCUUGAGCCCCUUACUUAAUGUAAUGAAUAAAAUGAAGCUGAGACCCUCUGGGAUCCAUGAAGUGGGUCUGGGUGUCUCAUGCCCCCCAGUGCCCCUCCUUCCUUGCCCACAGCAUCACAGAGAAACAAGUAAAAAUGGCUUUCACCAUGUGUUCACCAGCCCCACCCAACUCCAGAGUCACAAGUUGUCUCUGUGGGGGUGGGCUGGAGCUGGUACAGAGUCCUGGAUCCCGAGCUGGGGGUGGGGAGGCACAGCCUUGGGAUUGCACAUUGGGAGGUUUCUCACCCCCUCAGUCUCAAGGAGGCAAGAGGAGAGUGCUUCCACUUCAGGGUUUUAGAGUCCUCCUGGGCUCUUUGGCACUUGGAAAAAUUACCACCCCCCAUUUCCUGCCCCAUAGGAAUGGGGUGGGGGGAGGACUUGGCACUGGCUGUGGGAGAGGUUAUGGCUCCUCAGGCCCCUGGGCACUCACAGAAAGGAGGGGUGUCACCAGGACAAACCCCUAUUUGGGAUCAGGUUCUGAAGGGGAGAGGUGAAGGGCAAGGUGGUCAGGAAUCUUCAGCGGAGUGCUCACUGGAUGGAGGGGUUGGCUGGACAAUCCUGGCAGGGACAAGGAGACAGGCCCAGCCUGACAGGGGGAAAGCCCAAGUGGCCAUCACUCCGCAGUCAUGCACUGCAGCCGGUGUUUGAAGAAGAGAAGGCGAUGUUUGGCCACCUGACUUUCAUCCAGUGAUCCUGGGUAACGGAACUGGGCAUAAGUCUCUGCCCCAGCAUCCCUUGAAGCCCAUGGCAGCUUCAACUUCGAUGCAUGAUCCACAACGACGUCAGAGCAGGAGCCAACCCGAAGGGAACCAAGCCCAUCCAAGAAGAAUUCUGGGGUUGGAAGGGAGGGGAGUAAAUAAUGAGGGCUUCUGAGCGUGCAGAAGGUCAACCCAUAAGGAAAAACUAAAAUUUAGGGUAUUGAGGGUGCCUAUGAAAACUCAAUUUCCAAGAACUCUGGCAUGUAAAUUAACUCUUCUGGGUCUUGGUUAUACUCUGUGUAAAACAGCUUGAUUUUCUUGUGCUUUGAAAUGGAAAGAGGUUGAAUAAGUACCUCAUGGGCUGCUUGGAGUGCGAUUUGAACCAGGCAGAGCGGCUGGGAGUGGAGUAAAAGGCGGUGACCAUGGAGAAGUUCGGAGCGGACCCAGCGGGUGUGCUAGGUGUAGAAGUUUCAAAAGAAUGCCCGGGGUGGGGGGCGGGAGGAUAGGUUGGGCACUCUGUCUCUCGCCCGGGUGCAGGAAUUGGUGAAUCCUUGCAGAAUUGCUCUAGGGUACCCUGGGUAAUUUAAGGAGUGGGUAGGGAGAAAGCGCCAUGCCCUCCGUGACGGCUUGCGAGGAGCCUAGUGGGGUGUGCGUGUGGGUGUUCUCCCAAGGCCCUGCCGGAAGGGGGCGCCACUCACCCAGAUGUGCUACGCGGCUCAGGCGCGGGUCGAAGCCGACUUCUCGCACCUUAUCGGUGCGCGCUAGAAAGAAGUUAACGACGCCAUCGGUGACCACGCAGCCUGGGAAGCCAACAAGCUCGUGGUGGAAGCCACGCCGUUGCCGGAGGCAGUUCCCGAGGCCUGGGGCGCCCUGCUCCACGCUCAGCAGCUGCCGGUCCAGCGGCGUCCGUUCCAGCACAUCCACAAGCCUCUCCAGCCGCGUGCGCGCUGUGAAGACAAAGUCGUCGUCCACCCACAGCACAUAUUUGGUGGUUACUUGGGACACGGCCAGGUUCCGGCCUGCGAACCAGCCCUGCGGGAGAGGGCCUUGUGCUUGCGAGGCACCCUCUGGAUUCUGAGGCAGGUGGUCCUGGAAUCACUACCCUGGCUGCAGACUGAGGGAACGCCCCCUUCCAAGGUCUUCUUGAGCCUCAGUUCAGCCUUGCUGACUACGCACCUUGCCAAAGGGCAUAAGAUAGUGCUCCACGUGGGGACCGCUAACGCGCUCUGGUUUGUCGCUGUCGUCAGCAAUGACCACGGUGACGGUGGGGUAGAAGCGGCGGAUGCUAGCGAUGAGUGCUCGCAGCCUAUCAUAACGAAGGAAGGUCUUGGUGGCAAUGGUGACCAGAGCGCUGAUGUUGUACUGGGCUGCGAGGGCAUAGGGUUGGAUACAGACAAGAAGAAUGGGGGAAGAGAAGCAGGAAGACAACCCUUCUUAGAGUCACCCUGUCCCAACUUACUCCCCACCAGGGCAGGACCUACUACUUCCUUGCCCACACCAGCCCAACUUGCUUCCCACCAAGGCUGGACUAUAUUUCCCUACCCCCACUAUUCUCACCUCCCUGAGGUAGAGACCCGGGCGGGUACAGCCGGGGAUUGGGGGGAUGUCUUAUGCGGAUGGUGAAGGCAGCCUCAUGUCCUUUGGUGGAGAACCGGACUGGGGAGAAAGGACAUGGGAUUGGGCCCUUAAGGUUGGGACAACAUUCUUUUCCAUCUGGUAAUAUUUUAGUGCCUACUCUUUGUCCUGCCUUUCUAGGCCUUGGUGGACAAGAAUACAAGGUUGUUACCCCCAUGGAACUUCCUAAUGGGUGGGGAGAAAGACAAUGAAAAAGUGUUAGUUAAAAACUAAA